rnacentral:rRNA from 1 species
UAGGGAAUCUUCCACAAUGGACGAAAGUCUGAUGGAGCAACGCCGCGUGAGUGAAGAAGGGUUUCGGCUCGUAAACUCUGUUGUUAAAGAAGAACAUAUCUGAGAGUAACUGUUCAGGUAUUGACGGUAUUUAACCAGAAAGCCACGGCUAACUACGUACCAG